CCUACGGGGUGCAGCAGUGGGGAAUAUUGGACAAUGGGCGAAAGCCUGAUCCAGCCAUGCCGCGUGUGUGAAUAAGGCCUUCGGGUUGUAAAGCACUUUCAGUGGGGAAGAAAGCCUUGGGGCUAAUACCCUCGAGGAAGGACAUCACCCACAGAAGAAGCACCGGCUAACUCCGUGCCAGCAGCCGCGGUAAUACGGAGGGUGCGAGCGUUAAUCGGAAUUACUGGGCGUAAAGCGCGCGUAGGCGGUCUGAUAAGCCGGUUGUGAAAGCCCCGGGCUCAACCUGGGAACGGCAUCCGGAACUGUCAGGCUAGAGUGCAGGAGAGGAAGGUAGAAUUCCCGGUGUAGCGGUGAAAUGCGUAGAGAUCGGGAGGAAUACCAGUGGCGAAGGCGGCCUUCUGGACUGACACUGACGCUGAGGUGCGAAAGCGUGGGUAGCAAACAGGAUUAGAUACCCGAGUAGUC
rnacentral:rRNA from 1 species